rnacentral:rRNA from 1 species
GGCGUGUACUGCUUGGCUGGGCCUUACUUCUUGGUGAGCCGGCGUGCCCUUUAUUGGUGUGCGUCGGGGAACCAGGACUUUUACCUUGAGAAAAUUAGAGUGUUCAAAGCAGGCCUAUGCCUGAAUACAUUAGCAUGGAAUAAUAGAAUAGGACGUGCGGUUCUAUUUUGUUGGUUUCUAGAGUCACUGUAAUGAUUAAUAGGGACAGUUGGGGGCAUUGGUAUUGAGUCGCUAGAGGUGAAAUUCUUGGAUUGACUCAAGACCGACUAUUGCGAAAGCAUUUGCCAAGGAUGUUUUCAUUAAUCAAGAACGAAGGUUAGGGGAUCGAAAACGAUCAGAUACCGUUGUAGUCUUAACAGUAAACUAUGCCGACUAGGGAUUGGAUGACCUCAAAAUUGAUGUGUCAUUUGGCACCUUACGAGAAAUCAAAGUCUUUGGGUUCUGGGGGGAGUAUGGUUGCAAGGCUGAAACUUAAAGGAAUUGACAGAAGGGCACCACCAGGUGUGGAGCCUGCGGCUUAAUUUGACUCAACACGGGGAAACUCACCAGGUCCAGACAUAACUAGGAUUGACAGAUUGAUAGCUCUUUCAUGAUUUUAUGGGUGGUGGUGCAUGGGCCAUUCUUAGUUGGUAGAGUGAUUUGUCUGGUUAAUUCCGAUAACGAACGAGACCUUAACCUGCUAAAUAGCCAGGCCGGCUUCAGCUGGUCUCUGGCUUCUUAGAGGGACUGUCAG